CAAUCCGCUGACGAGUGGCGCACGGGUGCGUAACGCGUAUAGAACCUACCCUUGACAGGGGGAUAGCCCGGAGAAAUCCGGAUUAAUACCCCAUAGUAAUAUUUUAAGGCAUCUUAAGAUAUUUAAAGUUUCGGUGGUCAAGGAUGGCUAUGCGUCCUAUUAGUUAGUAGGUGAGGUAACGGCUCACCUAGGCAUCGAUAGGUAGGGGCCCUGAGAGGGGGAUCCCCCACACUGGUACUGAAACACGGACCAG
rnacentral:rRNA from 1 species